rnacentral:rRNA from 1 species
AACGAACGCUGGCGGCAUGCCUAACACAUGCGAGUCGAACGAGACCUUCGGGUCUAGUGGCGCACGGGUGCGUAACGCGUGGGAACCUGCCCUUAGGUUCGGAAUAACUCCCCGAAAGGGGUGCUAAUACUGGAUAAUGUCUUCGGACCAAAGAUUUAUCGCCUUUGGAUGGGCCCGCGUUGGAUUAGCUAGUUGGUAGGGUAAAAGCCUACCAAGGCGACGAUCCAUAGCUGGUCUGAGAGGAUGAUCAGCCACACUGGGACUGAGACACGGCCCAGACUCCUACGGGAGGCAGCAGUGGGGAAUAUUGGACAAUGGGCGAAAGCCUGAUCCAGCAAUGCCGCGUGAGUGAUGAAGGCCUUAGGGUUGUAAAGCUCUUUUACCCGGGAUGAUAAUGACAGUACCGGGAGAAUAAGCGCCGGCUAACUCCGUG